CUCCAGGUGUGGGGUUUAUGUACACACCACAACAACAGUCUCCAGGUGUGGGGUUUAUGUACACACCACAACAACAGUCUCCAGGUGUGGGGUUUAUGUACACACCACAACAACAGUCUCCAGGUGUGGGGUUUAUGUACACACCACAACAACAGUCUCCGGGUGUGGGGUUUAUGUACACACCACAACAACAGUCUCCAGGUGUGGGGUUUAUGUACACACCUUAACAACAGUCUCCAGGUGUGGGGUUUAUGUACACACCACCACAACAGUCUCCAGAUGUGGGGUUUAUGUACACACCACAACAACAGUCUCAGUGUUUGAGGUGUAAUAUAUACUUCAUAUCAGCCAUCGCCAGAUGUGAUUUGUCCACCACCACAGUGGUCUCAAUGUGUAACCGCACAACAUCCGUGUGCUUGAAAACCAUCAUCAAUAUUCCUCCGCCAACACUGUGGUUGGUUGUACUGACACGCCACGGUCACAUGACUCCAGGCUCCCUGUCGCGGAGCAUCAAUUAUUCAUGCUUGCAGCUGCACGCUGGCUGUCCUCAGCGGUCCUGUGUGACUGUGUACUGACGGUGUUG
rnacentral:lncRNA from 1 species